GACGAACGCUGGCGGCGUGCUUAACACAUGCAAGUCGAACGGAAAGGCCCUGCUUUUGUGUGGUGCUCGAGUGGCGAACGGGUGAGUAACACGGGAGUAAGCUUGCCUUGACGUUGUGAUAACUUCAAGAAACUGGUGCUAACACCUGAUAGGAGCGCCUGCUGCAUGGUGGUGUUUGGACAGUUUCGGCGGAUGGGGAUGGACUUUGGGCUUAUUAGCUUGUGGGGUGGGUAGCGGCUUACCGAGGGUUUGGUGGGUCGCCGGCCUGAGAGGGUGACCGGCCACCAUGGGCCUGAGAUACGGAGCAGACUCGUACGGGAGGCAGCAGUGGGGAAUAUUACACAAUGGGCGGAAGCCUGAUGAAGCAACGCCGCGUGCGUGAUGACGGCCUUCGGGUUGUAAACCGCUUUCGCCUGUGACGAAGCGGGAGUGACGGUAAUGAGUAAAGAAGCACCGGCUAACUACGUG
rnacentral:rRNA from 1 species